UACGUAGGGAGCAAGCGUUGUUCGGAUUUACUGGGCGUAAAGAGCGCGCAGGCGGUCGAUCAAGUCGCGUGUGAAAGCCCCCGGCUCAACUGGGGAGGGUCACGCGAUACUGAUCGACUCGAAGGCAGGAGAGGGUAGUGGAAUUCCCGGUGUAGUGGUGAAAUGCGUAGAUAUCGGGAGGAACACCAGUGGCGAAGGCGACUACCUGGCCUGUUCUUGACGCUGAGGCGCGAAAGCUAGGGGAGCAAACGGG
rnacentral:rRNA from 1 species